AUAUUUUGAAUGGUGUAACUCUUAGAUAUUAUGACAUUUUAUAUGCAAUAAAGUAAAAUGACUACUGCAUAUAUUUCAUAUUAUAAAUGUCCAAAAGUAUUACUAUUAUGUCUAAUUACUAAAAAAAUUAAGAUAAAACAAAUACUUUAAUUAGGAUUCUUUUUCUUUCAUAUAAAAGGAAUACAUUGUAAGAAUAAAUACAUAGCUGGGUAGCUUAACUGGUUAGAGUUUGUCGCGAUAUGCCAAAGUUGCAGGUUUGAUCCCCAAAAGAAUAAAUACACUGCCUAAGUCUCUCUGAGUAAUAAUACUCAGGGGUAGCCAUUCAGGUCAUGUGCCCAGGUUUCAGUCUCAAUGCCCUGCAGGAGGUUUCUCUCUCUCCCUCUCCCUUCCUCUUUCUCUAAAAUCAAUGAAAAAAAUAUUUUAAAAUAAUUGUAAUAAUGCUCCCUCAAUUCCUACAUGGAAUUGAGGUAACCUUCAUGGUAAGACUUACUCUAUUAUUAAAGGAAGUUAUUAGAGUAAGGAAAAAUAAACCUCUUACAAAUAUCUUCUAGUAACAUGAAAAUUCAGAAUUAUGAAAUGUUCUAGUUUUUUUUUUAAAUAGCAAGAUUAGAAAGUUAAUUUUUCUAAAGUUAUUAUUUUAUAUAUGUCUAGCAGGUGGAAAUAUUAGAAGUGCUAAUGUAUUCAAAGUCCUGAAUGAAAUCCAUGUCAAACCACCUUGUGCUAUUUUAGCCUAAUAACAAUUUUCAAAACUAGCUUUUUCUAAAUGCCACCUUUUUAACGUUCAGCAUUUAAAUGAGUUUUAAAAGAGCAAAGUAUCGCUUGUAUAAUAAUGUUGCAAAAAAACUGUCAGUAGCUCUCACUAUGCUGUCUGGUUAGAGAAAUCAUGGAUUGGUUCCUAAAUUUUUGGCUUAUGAACCUUACUAUCUGAAGUUUUCUUGUAAAUCUCACACUAAAUAUGCAGAAUAAAAUGAAAGUGAAUAACAGAUAGGGAACUGAUAAAAUUUAAUGGUUAUAUUCCUGAGUAAAGAAAAGAUCAUUUGACUUAUUUACCCUCAAAAUAAGUUUUUGGGAUUGGAGGGGAUGGGCAGUGGUGAAUCAAAAAACUAGAACAAUCAAAAAACUAGAACAUUUAAAAACUCAAUAUGGUUUUUAUCAUGUAGUCUUUUCAAAAUAAUUCUCUUUAUUCCAUUCAUUGGAACUUUUGAGCAGUUACUUUGCUUAAUUUUGGAGGAGGUAGAAUAAUGAACAUAAGAAAAGUCUUGUCAGGGAGACAAACAUGUAAAUAACUCAAUUAUUCAAUGAUAAGUAAAAUACAUGUUUUAAUAGAGAUGCAAGCAAGCUCUUAAGGUGAAUAAGAGUCAAUUGGACAGAAGGCAAUUGAGAAUUUACAAAGAAAGGCUUUUUGUUAAACAUCAAAAAGGAGAAGAAUUUGAAACAAGGGGUGAGGUUGGCAAGAAGAAAAUACUGAAAUGAGAAAAAGUCUAAAAUUAAGAAAAUAUUUGGUGUUUUGGUGGAAUAUCAAGAGUCUUGUGUGUCUGGAGAUUUGUCUUGUUGGAAGGAUAAAGUAAAAUAAAGUUUAAAAAAAGAAACUUGGGGCAGAUUAUGGAGGUCCUUGAAUGUGAUUCUGUGGAAUUUACUUUUGUUAUGUAGGUGAUAGAAAUCCAUAGGGCUGUGCUUAUUUUUGUUCUGCAGACAAUAUUUUAAAUUUAUUUGAUAU